GACGAACGCUGGCGGCGUGCCUCAAACAUGCAAGUCGAGCGAGGGUUGGCCGGUCCGCAAGGAUCGGUUCAACUCUAGCGGCGAACGGGUGAGUAACACGUGGGCAAUCUGCCCCGCAGACGGGGAUAACCUCGGGAAACCGGGGCUAAUACCCGGUCCCCUCGCCGGGCGGCAUCGCCUGGUGAGGAAAGGUCGCAAGACGCUGUGGGAUGAGCCCGUGGCCUAUCAGCUAGUUGGUGGGGUAACGGCCUACCAAGGCGACGACGGGUAGCUGGCCUGAGAGGGUGGUCAGCCACACUGGGACUGAGACACGGCCCAGACUCCUACGGGAGGCAGCAGUUGGGAAUUUUGGGCAAUGGGCGCAAGCCUGACCCAGCGACGCCGCGUGGGGGAUGAAGGCCUUCGGGUUGUAAACCCCUGUCAGGAGGGAAGAAGCCCCGCAAGGGGUGACGGUACCUCCAGAGGAAGCCCCGGCUAACUACGUGCCAGCCGCCGCAGUAA
rnacentral:rRNA from 1 species